UCUUAGUUGGUGGAGUGAUUUGUCUGGUUAAUUCCGAUAACGAACGAGACCUUAACCUGCUAACUAGAUUCUAUCAUCUUAUGAUUGUUAUCUUCUUAGAGGGACUAUGUAAAAUGCAAUCGAAGGAAGUUUGAGGCAAUAACAGGUCAGUGAUGCCCUUAUAUGUCCUGGGCUGCACGCGUGCUACACUGAUGCAUACAACAAGUGCCUAACCAGACAUGGUAUGGCAAUCUCGAAUAUGCAUCGUGAUAGGGAUAGAUCUUUGCAAUUAUAGAUCUUGAACGAGGAAUUCCUAGUAAGUGCAAGUCAUCAUCUUGCAUUGACUAUGUCCCUGCCCUUUGUACACACCGCCCGUCGCUCCUACCGAUACCGGGUGAUCC
rnacentral:rRNA from 1 species